AAGUGGGAGGAGAAAUUUAGGGCACGUUUAUGUGAAGAAGAAAGGAGGCCAAAUCCAUUGAGAGGAAACCAAGCUCGUGAGGCAUUUUGAGUGAAGAUGGAAGGACCAAUUUAUCUUUGUAGACAUCUUUGGGAGGGAAUGCAACAAUUGAACGAGGUUAAAAAUUGUUAGGACAAUUUCUCUACAUCCUUUCCAGGGCAGGCAGUAAAGUAGAAGGGAAUAGAGGAAAUAUAUUUACAAUAAUUUCCAGUUUUGUCGAACAACUAAGUCACAGCAACUGUGCCAUCCAACGUUGGUGAAACAUAAUGCCCCAAUUCGACGAAGGUAAUGUCACUGAACCAUGUCCUAAACUACAUCUAAUGAUUUGUCACUUAAGGUGUAUAGAUAUAGUAAGAGCCAACUUGGGGGAGGUAUGCACAAGGAACUUAUGCAUGCCAAGUGUUUGUAAAUUUGACUUAGAGGAUGAAUUAAAUGACUUGAAAAGUUUAUCGGCAUAUAAAAUAACAAGAAAAGUAUGAAGGUUAUCAUUAUUUGCUUUUUUCAUUUUGUUGUAGGAUAGCAGUGAUACCAUACAGUUUAGAAUGUAUUACUGGCUGUGGAUGGGAGUUCACAUCAUAGUAAACAGACACAUACAAAGAUAAAAGAUAAGCAAAGUGAGUCAUUGUAAAUUACACGAAUGAAAUAAGGAGUACAACAAAAUUCUACCAGGAUUACAAGGUAUUUGAGUGAUUGUGGUUAGUUAUACUUUUUGAUAGCAAUUUUUUUUUUAGAUAAAUUACUGAGAGUUGAGAAAUACUUUCAUGUAUCUCUAAAGAAGGAUUCUUCCAAUAUAUGAGAUAUUUGAGUGAUUAUGGUUAACUAUACUUCUUGAUAUCAAAUAUAUUUUAAGAUAAACUGCUGAUAGUUGAGGAUGCAGGGCCUGGAUGGUUGUCAGUAACAACUGUUCGGAAUGAUGUAAUAUUUUUUGAACAAUGUGUAACUUUAUAUGAACUACUUGUAAAAUUUAACAACAGAGAUGAAUUAUUACAUAUGGGAUCCACAUGAAUAGUAACACAAUAUCACACCUCUGUUGUAAGAAAGUAUAAGAAAUUUACAUAUAAUUACAAAACAUUCAAAAGAAGUUACAUUGUUUAAGAACGAUUGAACUGGCAACCAUCCUUACCCUAUGUCCGAUAGUUAAUAAAUACUCCCAUGUAUCUCUAAUUAAGUGGGUUUUAAUAUAGUUUGGCAUCUAUAUACAUAGAGAAUUGCAUUUGAGUGGAAAAUAACUAAAAAAAAAGGAAUGGUGGGUAUAAGGGGGAGGGAACUGCACACUUUAUUAAUUAAACAUUGAUGGUUGCUACUUUAUGUUAGAAAUUUGGUACAUGUUCGUGCAAUAGUAGUGAAUUAAUUAAAGAGAAUUUCUUUUAAACUUGGUUAGUAUAAGUGCAGAUUGCAGAUAUAUGUGUUACGCUAUGUACAUAUUAUUUUGCUGAACUUACCUAGUGAAAGAAAUUGGUUGCAAUUCAGUGUACCUUGACAUCAUGUCAGAGAAGCAUUAUUUUAUGUGAAUAAAUCAUAACAAUGGAUUCAGAUUAUGAUAGUGUUGUAAAAUGGCUUCAGACGAGAGGUUUUUGGAAGAAGUGUUGCAAAAAUAUAGUGUCAUCAGUCAAUGUACCGAGAGAAUACAAG
rnacentral:lncRNA from 1 species